rnacentral:rRNA from 1 species
CAGUCGCCGCGGUAAAACGAAGGGGGCUAGCGUUGCUCGGAAUGACUGGGCGUAAAGGGCGCGUAGGCGGCGAUCAAAGUCAGGCGUGAAAUUCCUGGGCUCAACCUGGGGGCUGCGUUUGAUACUUGAUUGCUAGAGUGGGGAAGAGGGUCGUGGAAUUCCCAGUGUAGAGGUGAAAUUCGUAGAUAUUGGGAAGAACACCGGUGGCGAAGGCGGCGACCUGGUCCUUGACUGACGCUGAGGCGCGAAAGCGUGGGGAGCAAACAGGAUUAGAUACCCCCGUAGUCCCUGUCUCUUAUAC